CAAGCAUGGAUUUAAGAGUUUGGUGCCUGCAAAGUGCUGAAGCACUAUUUUGGUACCCAAACCCUUUUUGAACAUAUGUCUGCUCAAUUACAUUGCUGAAAUGUAGUGAGAAUCAAACACACUAUUUGCUUUUUUCAAAUGAUAUCCGGUGCUAUUCACACGUUUUUUCCCCCUUUAAAUUCCGCCGUUGCCUGCAGAAUUGGAUCUGUUGCUGGCAAUUUCUCCUUCUCGGUCCUAAAUUAAAAAUCUCUGCCGCACUACGCAGUUGCUGACUAUGUCCAUAUGAACAACUUCCAUUCAAAUUUCCUAGAUGGAGAAGACUUGUGGCCUGCUUUGCUGCACUAAGUGGAAAUGAAUAUGAAUUGAAAGGACUAUAUUUAAGAGCAGUUUCCCUUUUUUGCCUACGAGGAUUUUUCUUCUCUUAUAUAACCAAAUUUCCCCGCAAGAUUGACAUUUCAGGAAAGGGGCAGCGGCAGACAGGUGACUACAGAUCACAUUGGAUUUCAGCAACCUUCCAUUGUAAAGGUCAGCUCUCUGCACUGGGUUUUCAGCUGGUGGUUCCUCGCUUGGUUUCCAUCUCAGGUGAAAUACUUCAUGUGUUCAGAAGACAGUAGAUGGACUUGAUGCCAGGAACUGGACUCAAUGAUCCUUAUGGGUCCCUUCCAACUUUGGAAUUCCAGUUGCUGUGGAAUUUCAGUCGUCAACGGUGUUCAAGGUAGGAAAUUUUUUUUCAACUUUGUUGCAAUAGGAGCUUAACUGGAAAAAAAUCUUGAAGAUAUAUUACAGUCAAGAGGGAGAUGGAAGCUGCUCUUAGUCACUUCUCUGACUGCAAGAGCAUUUCAAUAACUUUAAACACUUUCUUCAUAGGUUAACUUGGUAAUAUGUGCUCCAAACUGGGGUAGUAAGUCACUCAAGAUAAUGAGACCUCCAUAGAGGCAAUGUGAACCAGGGUCUCACAAAAGCCUAAAGACACCAGACUUAAUGGGAAGACUUGUUUGGUUGAACAAUGAAAUCACUUAACCACAAGUAGCAAUAUGGAGGCUGGGGUUCUGCCCACAAGUAAUUACUUAAUGGUGUAAAGCAUCAUGGAGAAAAGCCAAAGUUAUAUUCAG
rnacentral:lncRNA from 1 species